AUUGAACGCUGGCGGCAGGCUUAACACAUGCAAGUCGAACGGAACCUUCGGGUUUAGUGGCGAACGGGUGAGUAACACCUAGGAAUCUGCCUAUUAGUGGGGGAUAACGGCUCGAAAGGGUCGCUAAUACCGCAUACGUCCUACGGGAGAAAGAGGGGGAUCUUCGGACCUCUUGCUAAUAGAUGAGCCUAGGCCGGAUUAGCUAGUUGGUAGGGUAAAGGCCUACCAAGGCGACGAUCCGUAGCUGGUCUGAGAGGAUGAUCAGCCACACUGGAACUGAGACACGGUCCAGACUCCUACGGGAGGCAGCGGUGGGGAAUAUUGGACAAUGGGGGCAACCCUGAUCCAGCCAUGCCGCGUGUGUGAAGAAGGCC
rnacentral:rRNA from 1 species